AGAUUUGACCAAUCGCGUUUCGAGUUGCGACAGAGAUUUCAGUGGCACUCCGCGUCAGUUACGGGCCGACGAAACGACAACACAAGCGGGACUUUUCAAAAGUACUGGAUGGAUUUUACUGCAGCUAUCACUCAAUUGACGACCAAUCAGCAUCAGGACCAAGACAGCACCAUGCCUCUCGAGCAGAAGAUACAGAGGCAGUUUUCAGAAGGAGGGUUGAUGUCACCACUAACAUUUUGCACACAGUGGUGUAAGAGAUUCUUCCUUCUCAGAGUCGUAAUUGGGUUGAUGAUCUACAUGAUGGUGAUGGACCAGGACAGCUCCGGACCCCCUGGCUGGCAGCUCCAUCCUCAACCUGCCUUCUUGCCCUUCACACAUGUGCAGGUAAGGCACUUAAAAAAAAAAUCCAUUCUUUUAAGGCAAAGGUUGGGGAAGAGGAGUGUGUGUGAGAGAGAGAGAGAGAGAGGGAGAGGAAGAGGAAGAGGGAGAAUGAGAACGAGAGAGAGAGACACCUGACAAUCGUCCAUCUUUCUGCUGUGGCAAGCUACAGGGCUGUUUUAAGCCCACAGGGGACCAAUAGGCCAUCUUGUGAGGAAGGGCAGGGAGAUGACGGGAAUGAGGACGAUGUACACAGCAGUGAUUUCUCAUACACCAGUGAUGAGGAAGAAACGGAGUGUAGUUCUUUAAUCUGAGACGGUUUGGAAUCAUCAAUCAUCAUUCCUUGACACCCGCAGCUGUCUCCUUUCUCCUGCUUUCUCCAACACACCAACAGCCUCUCUCUGUCCUGCUCUCCUCUGUCUCCUCCAUCCUGAUCUCCAGUGCAGCAGC